AUAGUGACAGUGGUGGGGGUGAUAGCAAUGCAAUCAUCUUGCCAAAAAAGAAAAGAAAUAAAAAAGAAAGACAAGAGUCAGGUGCAUGAACAACUUAAGACAAAGAAUAUUCCAAAGUUGACCAAAUCC